UUGAUUUUGGUCGCCAACGAGUGGCGGACGGGUGAGUAACACGUAGGUAACCUGCCCAGAAGCGGGGGACAACAUUUGGAAACAGAUGCUAAUACCGCAUAACAACGUUGUUCGCAUGAACAACGCUUAAAAGAUGGCUUCUCGCUAUCACUUCUGGAUGGACCUGCGGUGCAUUAGCUUGUUGGUGGGGUAAUGGCCUACCAAGGCGAUGAUGCAUAGCCGAGUUGAGAGACUGAUCGGCCACAAUGGGACUGAGACACGGCCCAUACUCCUACGGGAGGCAGCAGUAGGGAAUCUUCCACAAUGGGCGCAAGCCUGAUGGAGCAACACCGCGUGAGUGAAGAAGGGUUUCGGCUCGUAAAGCUCUGUUGUUAAAGAAGAACACGUAUGAGAGUAACUGUUCAUACGUUGACGGUAUUUAACCAGAAAGUCACGGCUAACUACGUGCCAGCAGCCGCGGUAAUACGUAGGUGGCAAGCGUUAUCCGGAUUUAUUGGGCGUAAAGAGAGUGCAGGCGGUUUUCUAAGUCUGAUGUGAAAGCCUUCGGCUUAACCGGAGAAGUGCAUCGGAAACUGGAUAACUUGAGUGCAGAAGAGGGUAGUGGAACUCCAUGUGUAGCGGUGGAAUGCGUAGAUAUAUGGAAGAACACCAGUGGCGAAGGCGGCUACCUGGUCUGCAACUGACGCUGAGACUCGAAAGCAUGGGUAGCGAACAGGAUUAGAUACCCUGGUAGUCCAUGCCGUAAACGAUGAGUGCUAGGUGUUGGAGGGUUUCCGCCCUUCAGUGCCGGAGCUAACGCAUUAAGCACUCCGCCUGGGGAGUACGACCGCAAGGUUGAAACUCAAAGGAAUUGACGGGGGCCCGCACAAGCGGUGGAGCAUGUGGUUUAAUUCGAAGCUACGCGAAGAACCUUACCAGGUCUUGACAUCUUGCGCCAACCCUAGAGAUAGGGCGUUUCCUUCGGGAACGCAAUGACAGGUGGUGCAUGGUCGUCGUCAGCUCGUGUCGUGAGAUGUUGGGUUAAGUCCCGCAACGAGCGCAACCCUUGUUACUAGUUGCCAGCAUUAAGUUGGGCAC
rnacentral:rRNA from 2 species